AAGUAGAGUCAAAGUGCUGGAUCGUGCAAUCGACGUCCGUAAUAACUUGUUCUCAAUUGACUGCCUGCCCUUUUUUGACAUGUCAAGACACUUCAGGAGUAUCUGAACGAGUUCACCGACUUGAAGUUCGGGGAAGUGGAGCGGUAAUGAAGAGGAGAAAAGCCUGCUCGAACAUCACUUGAGUGACAUCAUCUGGGACAGUAGGAACAACUCUACGCUCCACAUUUAAUUCAGUGUCAAUCCUGAUUUCAUCAACAUGGACUGAUGGAACAAAAGUCAUGCAAAUAUGCUGUUUUGUGUAGUGGUGUCACAAGAUAAAGUAUUUCCUUGAUGAGUUCAGAGAUGGAUGAUCAAUCAAACAUAGAAUAUGGUUUCUAGCAACCCUGCAGGUAUCCUUCAUACGCCAAUGAGAGUGCGUAAAGCUUGCACAUAUUAUAAACGGUAUCUGUGCUAUCCCCAAUAUAUAACAUUAGACCAAUUACAUUGCCAAAUUACAAUGGAGCCUAUCAAAGAAAAGGUAGACUCCAGCAAAACGUAAUUUGAAUAUUAAAAUAGAGAAAAACCAAAGAAGCACUGAUAAUUUCAUCAAAAUCUGACUAAGAUAUGAAGGUUGUGAAAUUUUGAGUUUAAAAAAACAUUAAUAUGCAAAACACAGGUCAAAUGAGGAUCAAAGACGUUCUUUUGUAUUUUAUCAUAUGAAACAUAGAACAGAUCCAUUGUCUUUGGCAGAGAGUAAUUGGUCUACCGGUAAUCUUAUACUUAGGGGGAUAAUAAUUUAAGAGAUGCUUUACAUAGGAAUAAGUAAUUAUGUAGUACAAUACAUUUUUCAGGAGCAACUUGGUCUGCUCAUCAUUAGAGUGCAGUGGGCUGAUUCAUAAAUCUGUUAGUAAGUUAAGAUUGAUUUUAAGAACGACU
rnacentral:lncRNA from 1 species